GUAGAACUAUGGAUGUCCGAAGUCGACGACGCUAUGAAAGACGCUCUAGUUCAUUAUACAAAUGUGGCCAUGACUGAAUGGAGCAAUCAGCCUGAUAUGGAAUACCUUGAACGCUAUCCAGGUCAAUCCAUUUACUGCGCAUCGGCCAUUAACUGGACGAAAUCUGUCACCGACACGAUCACGGCCGGCAAUAAAUGGAGUGAACUGGAAUCGUCAACAAGUUCUUUAGUAACACACUUCACGUCAAUGAUAAAAAAUAGGCCAACCCCGACUGUUAGGAUUACGCUCAACAACCUGAUCAUGUUUUACCUCAACAGUCGAGAUAUUAUUCAACGAAUGAAAUCGAAAUAUGUUUCAAGCCUGGACGAUUUUUAUUGGCAAACGAAUUUGCGAUACUAUUGGAACACGGACGCGUUAGAGGGCCUUGGUCAUUUAACUGUCGCGAUGAUUGAGACACAAGUUCCGUAUGGAUUCGAAUAUAUGGGCAACAACCAUCGACUAGUCCUCACGCCUGCUACCGAGAAAGGAUUCCAGAUCAUGAUGCUGGCGUUGAAGCAGUUUCAAGGUGGAUGGCUACAUGGUUUGCAAGGCGUUGGUAAAACGGAAACCAUCAAGGAAUUAGCCCGUGCUGUGGCAAAACAGUGUUUAGUUUUUAAUUGCUUCGACGGACUUGAUACCAGAUCAAUAGGCCGUAUUCUAAAGGGUAUUGUACAAUCUGGAGCGUGGUCUUGCUUUGACGAUAUUGACCAAGUGGCACCUGACGUUCUUUCAGUCAUGGCAGUUCAAAUUUACACGCUUCAAAUGGCUCUUAGUCGACGGAUGCGACGAGUCAAUUUUGAGGGAUCGGAUGUUCAAGUCACUGUCGGUUCGGCAAUAUUCAUCACCACCAAAACAAAGGAGCUCUUGCCGGACAGUUUUCGGUCCCUAUUCCGUUUGGCAUCGAUUCUUUCCCCGGAUCUGCACUACAUUAUCAAGAUUUCACUCCUUUCUCAGGGAUUUCAAAAUCAUUUAACCAUUGGACCACGCAUCUUUAAACUGAUGCACGACAUAAGCGAAAAGAUUCCCGAUGUAUCGACCACCGCAAACCUGCGUUCCCUUCGAGAAAUUUUAAAAGUUUCCAGUAUGCUAAAGGCCAAAGAUGCCAACAUCGACGAGAUGGCCAUCAUCCAUCGUACAUUUAUGUCUUUUUUCGAAACUCAGUUGACACCCACACAAGGGCAAAUCUUACGUCAUCUAGUCAACCAACAUUUCCCAGUAGCUACAAUCGAACAUCACGUGGCUUCAGACGUUUUCGGCCAAAGUGUAAAAGAAGCUUGCAGUGAUCUCAACUUGAUUCCAAAUCAGCAGUUUAUAGAUAAAAUCUGGCAAUUGCACGAAUCGCUUAUGGCUCGGAACGGCGUUAUCCUCCUCGGAGCGACACUGGCGGGCAAAAGCACUCUGUACAAGAUUUUAGCCAAAAUUUAUCCGAAAAUCACGAUGGGCUCAGCUAGUGGUGACGACGGUCGUGUUGUGAUGCACAUUAUCAGUCCGUGGUCGCUGCCUUCUAAAUACUUGUACGAAUGGAGCGAGCCGGAGAAAAACAAGUGGAACGACGGAAUUAUUACGAAAGCGCUGCGUGAGUUGUCUUCCAGCUCACCGACAAGUCCGCGUUGGCUCGUUUUGGACGGACAUGUUCAUUCCGAGCUGGUUGGACAUUUGCACACUUUGCUGGAUGCCAGUCGUAAAUUGACUCUACCCUCGGGAGAAAUUCUUCAGAUUCCACAGUCCUUUCGACUGAUUUUUGAAACAUCUGACUUGACUUAUGCUUCACCGUCAACUAUUACACGGUGUGGCAUAGUCCGAGUAACAGAGGACAUAGUCAGCGUCGAUUCUCUCUACCUCAGUUGGUUGAAACGGUCCAACUUGCCAUCUAAAUUGCAUCCGCUGUUGGAUAAAUUUGUCCAAAACAUUUUAAAGCCAUGUUUGGUUUUCACUGUUGAGUCAUCUACCUCAUAUUGCAUCAUUCCUACGACGCAGCCUUACCUCUUUGUGAGUUUUACCCGAUUGGUCAACUCGUUACUGGCCAGCCAUGAAAACCUUCAGUUGAAAACUCUGCUUUUGCUCAAACUGCUGUCAUUCUCCACCAUUUGGACUGUAGGCUCUACAUUCAAACACGAUUGCAAGAGCCAUUUCCAUCAGCAUUUUACUGGUUUGUUCAGUGCCUUCGAAGAUGCAGAAAGCUUUGGUACAGGAACCAUCUUACCUCCAUCGGAGUGUUCUGUCUUUUCCUACAAAUUGGAUGUACUUAAUGGGAACUGGAUUCUCUGGAAAGAUGCCCUUCCAUCAAUCCCCAAAAGUUUUAAUGGACCUCGAAUCAUUAUUAGCAAUGAAUCCGUUGCGAUUCAACAUUUUUUCAUCAAGGCUUACUCAAACGGUAACGUUCCCGUCGUCAUCCUUGGUCCCGCCAGUGUGGGUAAAUCGCAAGUGACUCAAUUCGCCAUCGAAGAUUUGCCCAAAGACCGAUUCGUUCACAACAUUGUCCAUGUGACACCAAUAACGACAUCAUCUUCUUUACUCACGUCGGUCAUGAUUGGCUUGGAUCGACGUAGGAAAGGAGUUUAUGGCCCAGCACUUGGCCGGCGCUGCGUCCUAUUUGUCGACGAUCUCAUCACUAGCGAUCCGGUGGAGGGAAACAUUCGAACUUCGUCAGAACUCUUAAGACACUGGCUAAAUUUCGAAUGCGUUUUUGACGGGAAAACCGCAUCAAAAAUGGAACUAGUGGAUAUUCAUCUGAUAACGUCCGUCAGAUUGGCCGACCGUUUUUCCGAAGAAUUUGAUGUUCGAUUGCAUCGGCACAUGAACACGAUCUUCAUUGAUCCCUUCACAACCGACAGCCUUGUAACAAUGACAUCUACAAUCAUGGAACGCCAUUUCACAUCGCCAGGUUUCAACAAUGCAGUGUCUAAGCUGGCCAAGGCUGUGUCCGUUGCUACGGUGGAUUUAUACCAAGUUUGGGAGGAAAAGGCUCAACAGAACGUAGCUCAUUAUUGUGUGAGUGUAUCGUGUGUGAAUCGUGUAAUCCAAGGAAUGAUGAAUGUCUCUGCUGCUAAUUUAAGCAACGUCAACAAAUUGCACCGUUUGUGGAUCCACGAAACGUGCCGCGUUUGGGCGGACCGACUCAUGUCAGAUGCCGAUCGUCAAUGGUUCAUCAGUCAUUUGGAUCGUAUUGGCUUGGUUCACUUUAAACAAAAUCUCAGCAAGUAUUUAUUCGCCUCUGCAAUGGGUGGAGCAGAUUACACGAUCUUGCCGAAAAUUCAUUUCUCCAAACUGCCCAGUUUAAAAUUCACAGAAAUCAUUUGCGACGAGGUAACGGACAUGGAUGCCAUUAUCCAACUGAUGGAGGCUAGGUUGGAACAGCACAACAAGGAAUGUACAGUAUCGGCUCCGAUUAAACUGGUCAUUUCGCUCAAUGUUGCCUACCACAUUCUCCACAUCAAUCACGCACUGAAUCGUCCAAGAGGACACGUGAUUCUGAUCGGUGAUGCUGGAAGAGGUCGCCGUAGUUGCGCUACCGUAGCCGCUUUGCUACUCGAUUAUAAAAUAUUUCAGAUUAGAGCCGGCAGGAAUUACGGAGUCCAAGAAUGGAAGGAAGACGUUAAGAAACUCAUCCAUCGCUCGGGCAUCCAGCAUGAAAAGAUUGUCUUCUUAUGUAAUGCAGCCGACUUCCAAAAGCGAAUCUUUUUCGAUUAUAUCGGACGAUUGAUUUGCGGAUACGAAAUUUCCGAACUCUUUACUAACGAAGAACGUCAGGAAAUGACUGAACUUUAUCAAAAGCGCACGAAAGAAAUCGCCACCUUUAAUCAAAUUCUAUUACAAGUCGACGAAAAUUUGCGUGUUGCGUUGUGUGUCUCUCCAAGAGAUUCAUGCUACAUCCACCUUCCGCAGUACCCGACUGUCUUCAAAUUUGCAUCCAUUCUCUGGUUUGAACCUUGGCCGGAAGAAACAUUGGAAGUUAUAGCUAAAAAAUGGUUGGAUGACAUUCCGGGACUGAGCGACAAACUACAAUUGAAUUAUUCCAAUUAUUUCAAAAAUGUCCACAACAGCAUGCGAUUGUACAGUGAAAGCAAAGGAAUGGCUCCGCAUUCCAGCGCAGCUUAUUUGGAACUCUUGUCCAAUUUCCGGACGCUGUGGCUUAGCAAAGAGAAAGAUUUGCUUCAACAAAAGGACCGUUACAAUGUCGGCCUGGGCAAGUUGCAGUUCGCCGCUUCACAGGUAGUCGUCAUGCAGGAGGAGCUGCGUAGUCUUCAGCCGCAACUAGUUGAUACUUCAGCAGAAACGGAAAGUCUGAUGGUGAAAAUCGAACAAGACACUGUUAAAGUGGAAGCCCAAAAAGAAAUCAUUGCCGCUGAUGAAAGUUUGGCUAACGAAGCUGCUGCAGCUGCACAAGCCAUCAAAGACGAAUGUGAAAGUGAUCUGGCGGAAGCCACUCCGGCUCUAGAUGCAGCCAUUAAUGCCCUGGAUACGCUGAAACCAGCUGACAUUACCUUAGUCAAAUCAAUGCGACAUCCUCCGUCUAUCGUAAAACUGGUCAUGGAAGCUGUUUGCGUCAUGAAACAAAUUCCGCCCGUCAAAAAGUUGGAUAUGGCGACCGGCAAGAUGACGGACAAUUACUGGCAAGCUGCCCAGAAAAUCUUGGGAGAUCUUCGCUUUCUUGAUCUCUUGCGAUCCUAUGAUAAAGACAACAUUCCUUCGAAUGUUAUGAAACGUAUACGUGAAAAAUAUAUUCCGAAUCCAGAGUUCAACCCAAAUAUUGUGCGACAUGUUUCGACAGCUUGCGAAGGACUUUGUCGAUGGGUUAGGGCAAUGGAAGUGUACGACCGGGUUAUUAAAAUCGUUGCUCCUAAACGUGCCAAAUUGCAAGAAGCUGAACAGGAACUGGCUCGACAAAUGAAACGUCUGUCAGAAAAACAUAGCCAAUUACAGCAGAUCUCAGACAAAUUGCAAGGCCUGAAUGACGACUUUGCUGCCAUGUCCAAAAAGAAAAAAGACUUGGAAGAUAGCAUUGAUCAAUGUCAUCAGAAAAUGGAAAGAGCAGAGAAAUUGAUUGGAGGUUUAGGUGGCGAGCAAGAAAAUUGGAAAACAUCCUCCAACAAUCUCGAUUUCCGGUUAAAGCAAUUGCCUGGUGAUGUCCUCCUCUCUGCCAGUAUCAUUACGUACUUGGGGGCAAUGAAAAAUGAACAAAGAAUGGAUUGUCUCCAAAAGUGGUUGCAACUCAUUCAAGAAUGUAAAAUCCCGCACAGUAACAACUUUUCGCUAGUAGAUUGCUUGAUAGAUCCGGUUAAGAUAAGGGCUUGGAACCUUGCUGGCCUACCGUCCGACAGGUAUUCCCUGGACAACGGAAUCAUCACGACCCACUGCCAACGCUGGCCAUUACUUUUUGAUCCUCAAGAUCAAGGAUUUAAAUGGAUCGUCAAUACUGAGACGAAAAACCAAGUGAAGCAGAUCCGUUACGAUGAUGUCAAUUAUCUGAGGGAAGUCAAAACGGCCAUAUCAGAUGGCCACGUAGUUGUAUUGGUCAAUGUUAAAGACAAACUCGAUCCGGAUCUUGACAAUUUGUUGGAAAAACGAACGUUCACCUCGAACGAGAAGACAGUUAUUCAGAUAGGUUCCGAAUUGAUUCCAUGGUCUCUUAAGUUCCGUUUAUAUCUGAUAACGAAAGAAGAGAAUUCUGCCUCUAAUUUAGAGCUCGCUUCAAAGUUGACCAUCAUCAAUUUCCGAUUGAGCCGCGCUGGGCUGGAGGAUAAAUUCUUGAGCCUUUUCCUAUCUAACGAACGUCCAGAACUUGAGGAACAAAAGCAAAUGUUAAUGGUUCAAAGCGCUAGCAAUCAGAGACAGAUCAGGGAUCUUGAAGACCGCAUCCUGUACGUUCUUUCUUCUUCUCGUGGAAAUAUUUUAGAAGAUGAGACUGCAACGAAGACUCUGUACAGCUCCAAGAUCACGUCCGAAGGUAUCAGCGUCAAGCAGAAGGAAAUUCAGAAGUCGGAACAGGAAAUUGACCAGGUGCGCGAAAGUUACCGAGCUGUCGCUUCUCAUGCAGCGUCCUUGUACUCAUGUAUAGGCCAACUGAGACAUCUCAACAAAGUCUAUCAGUUUUCGUUGCCUUGGUUCAUCAAUCUGUUCACAAAUUCGACGGUGGCGAGCCAAACAUCGUUGCUCAUCAGUGAAAGGAUCGUCUACGUCAAUGAACAUUUCAGCAGAACUCUUCAUCAUUCCAUUUGUCGGGCUUUAUUCAACACCGAUAGGCAACUGUUUACUGUCCUAUUGGCUUUUGCAGCCCUUCGUUCCAAGGGCAAUGUCCAGCAAGAAACGAUUGAUCGACUGUACGCGGAGACGCCAUUGCCUCCAAGUCAUUGGAUUGGGCCAUCUUGGAUUGACGGCAAAACUUGGCAACAUAUUAUGGAAUUGAGCCAAACCAUUGAAAGGUUGAAAGAACUGCCUCAGCAUAUGGAAUGCAAUGCUCAAAAAUGGGAGGAGUUCUGCCUUCCAUCAAAUCUAGCCAGAACCUUACCUUCCCCUUGGAACCAGCUAGAGCCUUUGGAACAGCUUCUUAUCAUCAAGCAUUUAAAACCGGACUCUUUCGCGGCUUCAGUUAAUACUUUUAUCAAAGCCAUUUUGGGACCCAAUUAUUCGGAAAAUAUUAUCAACGACAUUCAAGGGGCUUACGAAGAAUCAACAUCCACCGUACCGGUACUGUGCUUUGUGGCAGGAAACAUUGAUCCUUGUCAAAGCAUUUCAUCUUUGUGUGAAAAGAAAUUAGAUAAUCGCAACAGAAUCAAGUCGUUCACAUUAGGGCGGGGAUCGGAUCGAACUGUUUACAAUCUAGUACGCAGAUGUGCUGAUGAAGGUAACUGGGCCGUUAUACAAAACAUCCAUUUGUAUCCGGAUCUUGUGGAUGAAAUUGUGGAUCAACUGCGACUGGAACAAAAGGACUUUGGGAACGAAUUCCGCCUCUGGUUGAUUGGCUACGCCUCAUCGCACUAUUCACCAAUGGCAUUACAGUUUUGUGUCAAAACUGUUUGCGAAUCGCCGUCUUGUUUCCGAGACGGCCUCCUGGAAAUCCUUCGCCUCGAUUUCGUCCACGAUUUCUCAAGCGCGCGGGCAUCAUCUGCGGAAUCGAGUUUCCAGUCAGCCAAUCCGUCCCAGUUGGAGAAGGAAAACGUCAUAUUCCGCAGUGAACCCUGGCGACGGAUUUCACUUGCGCUGUUUUGUUUCCAUGCUUUGCUAUUGGAAAGGACUCGCUACUCGACAUUAGGUUUUGCUGGCCUUGUUGAGUUUACGUAUUAUGAUUUGAAAUCAGCCUUGAUUCUCGUCAAAGACUCUAUGCUAUCAGCUAGAGAUAUCUCUUUGGCCUCACUUCGUUCGUUGGUAGUUGAUUGCGUGUACCGUGCUCAAUUGACUAUCGAGAACGAUGUCGCCAUCUUGCGUCGUUUCAUUGACCAUCUUUUAAGUUCAAACAUCCUGCAAGCAGACAGGUUAAUUGUUACACUGUGUGGAAAGUUGUCCAUUCCUUUUACAAAUAACACACGAAUGCUUAUGGAAUCCAUUCAAUCCUUACCCAGAGAUUUGCAACCGGAAGCUGUCGGUUUGUCAAGGGACUUGGUGAAGCAAUGUCACACCGAGGAAUCCGUGGACCUUCUCAGAAAGUUGAAUUGCUGCUCCGCAACAUCUGAUCGUUAGAAACCGGAAUGUCCCGGAAAAAGGCCGUACCGUUCCUGGGUCAUCUUUUCCAGCAAUUUAUUAUCUUCUUUAUCUUCGCGUAUACAACACGAAUAACAAAAACAAAGGAAAAAGAUAGCACAAAGUGUUGUUGAAGGUAGCACCUUAUACUCUUGUGAGUUCACUUCUUGAAAGUGAACACAUUAGAACUGCAUUUACUCAUGUUUGGUAUGCAAAAUUAGCUCUCAAUAUAUAAUUCUUUUUAUAUCCAUUUUGUAUG